rnacentral:lncRNA from 1 species
AACCUAAUUUUUUUUCUCAAUUCUACAACGAAAGCUUGCAAUAUUUUUGGUACAAAGAGAAAUCUUACAAAAACAUUUCAAAUACGACGCAUUCAUUUAUAUUCCCCGUUUCUUAUGAAACUAUAUCAAGAAAAAACUACAAAAAAUCUUGAAUAAUACAUUAAUACAAAGGUUUGACAAUUUUUUCACAUUGAAAGAGUAGAAUAUUUCGAAGGUACAAUAAGGUAGAACUGUUCCAACACUAUGAUUCCAAAAAGUUACAUUCCUCUAUGAAAAAUCAAAAGAUCCAAACUUGAAUAAUUUCUUCGCUAGAUACCCAAAGCUAUAUUUGUCUAAGCAAAACCUAAAGGGUAAAUUUUUUUUCAAUGCUACAAAGAAAGCUUGCAAUAUUUCUGGUAGAAAAUGAAAUUUUCCAAAAACAUUUCAAAUACGACGCAUUCAUUUUUACUCCCCGUUUCUUAUGAAACUAUAUCAAGAAAAAACUACAAAAAAUCUUGAAUAAUACAUUAAUACAAAGGUUUGACAAUUUUUGCAUAUUGAAGGUGUAGAUUAUUUCGAAGGUACAAUAAGGUAGAACUGUUCCAACACUAUGAUUCCAACUACCAUUAAUCUUGGAUGAUACAUUAAUACAAAGGUUUGACAAUUUUUGCAUAUUGAAGGUGUAGAUUAUUUCGAAGGUACAAUAAGGUAGAACUGUUCCAACACUAUGAUUCCAACUACCAUUAAUCUUGGAUGAUACAUUAAUACAAAGGUUUGACAAUUUUUGCAUAUUGAAGGUGUAGAUUAUUUCGAAGGUACAACAAGGUACAAUGGUUUCAAAACUAUGAUUCCAAAAAGUUACAUUUCUCUAUAAAAAAUCAAAAGAUUUAAACAUAAAUAAUUUCUUCGCUAGAUUCCCAAGGUUAUAUUUGUCUAAGCAAAAUCUGAAAGGUAAAUUUUUGUUCAAUGCUACAAAGUGAAAUCUCCCAAAAACAUUUCAAAUACGACGCUUACGUUGUUUAAUCCCCGUUUCUUAUAAAACUAUAUCAAGAAAAAACUACAAUAAAUCUUAAAUGAUACAUUAAUAAAAAAGGUUUGACAAUUUUUGCACAUUGAAGGUGUAGAUUAUUUCGAAGGUACAAUAAGGUAGAACUAUUUCAACACUACGAUUCCAAAA